UUUUUUAAUUGGACAAAACGUAUGCCAUGUCUGACACGGUGUUAAAACGUGCUGACACGGUGCUACAUCUUAUAAAUGAGGAAGUCAAAGACCCCAGGAGGAGACAGUCUGAUUUUAUAAUUAAGUAUGUUUUCAAUAUAUACAGCAAAGGACAUAUUCAAAGAGGCAAUACAAGCGCUAAGUGAACAAAUGAAAACAGGGCUUUUCAGCAAGUUUUUAAAUAAAAAAAUAAAUACCGCUAAUCAACAGGCCACCAAAGAUGGACGAGAACAAUGUCGGUAACCGCGUCAGGAAGAGCUGUUGGUGGAGUGUGCAUAGGUGUCCCGCCGGUGAAGUACAGUUUGAUAAGAUGAAGGGAAAGCCCAGUGAUGACGCACAGGCUGUGAUGCUCUGGCUGCUCUCCUGGGGAUUUAUCCAAAGGGGAUAGCUGGACAAACGAGUGAAGACUUAUACAGGCUCUCUGUUAAUUAUCGAAAACGGUGAAAAGCUGGAAACGAUCUAAAUGCCCCGCUCCAAAUGAAACGGGUCAAAUGAAUUAUGAGACAACCAGUGUGACCCUGCAACCUUUAAAAAUCUAUCUUCAUCUCUUUUUUUAACAAGGUUGACAAUUUAUUGUUAAGUGUAAGAGGCAGGUUACAACAUCUAUUGGGAGAAGUUUAGUGUGUAGAGCCAGAAGGAAAAUUCUAGGUCACUGAGUCAGCUAAGGUGCUUCCAGAUGAAGAAAACAUAAUUCAGCUGAUGGAAAUGCUAAAGAGGAUUGAAAGGCUUUUGACACCAUGCAAUCCAGGCUGCAGAUCCGUUUCUCUGCGGUGGUCUGGAUCCUGUCCCCACUCUGUGGGCAGCCUUGGGUCUCAGGCUGACUUCCCUCAUCGUCACAACUUGGCUGCCAGCAGCUGGCACGGCUACAGGCACCCUUGUUCACAGCCAGGGAAGUGAGAGCUCUGCCCCGCCCAGUUGAGACUUGGGUGCCUGCUCUCCUGUAAGCAAGCGCAUUGUAAAGGCGGGUGGCCUCACUCUGCUUAGGCCAGUCAGGGCCCAUCCCUGGAGCAAGGCUUGUGGUCAGCCACCCCCAAACUCCGUGACCAUUACAGAGCGGGGCAUGGGUGGGGUGGGUGACCGCAUGACAUCCACUGCAGGAAGGCCCCCAAAAUGCUACCAGGGUUGCCCUGAUUAGAGGGACGACAAAGAGUUGUUUGUUUGGAAAUAUUCUGUAUUUUAAGAGAUUCAGAAAUAUCUUUCAGAGAGGCUCGCCUUUCCGUGAAUUUCUCACCCAACUUUACGCCAAGAAAACUCCCUCCUACAUGGUUCUGCUGCUGCUGCUGCUAAGUCGCUUCAGUCGUCUCCGACUCUGUGGGACCCCAUAGACAGCAGCCCACCAGGCUCCCCCGUCCCUGGGAUUCUCCAGGCAAGAACACCGGAGUGGGUUGCCAUUUCCUUCUCCAAUGCGUGAAAGUGAAAGUGAAGUCGCUCAGUCGUGUCCAACUCUUCGAGACCCCAUGGACUGCAGCCUACCAGGCUCCUCUGUCCAUGGGAUUUUCCAGCCAAAAACAGGUAUCUGCAAAAUGCCUCGUCUGCCUCCUGCCUGCUGUGUCCUCUCUGGCCAACGGCAGUGCUCCAGCUCACACCGGGUUCAGUUCAGUCGCUCAGUGAUGUCCGAUUCUUUGACACCCCAUAGGCUGCAGCAUGCCAGGCCUCCCUGUCCAUCACCAAUUCCCGGAGUUUACCCAAACUCAUAUCCAUUGAGUCGGUGAUGCCAUCCAACCAUCUCAUCCUCUGUCGCCCCCUUCUCCUCCCACCUUCAAUCUUUCCCAGCAUCAGGGUCUUUUCCAAUGAGUCUGUUCUUCACAUCAGGUGGCCAAAAUAUUGGAGUUGCAGCUUCAGCAUCAGUCCUUCCAAUGAACACCCAGGACUGAUUUCCUUUAGGAAGGACUGGUUGGAUCUCCUUGCAGUCCAAGGGACUCUCAGGAGUCUUCUCCAAUACCACAGUUCAAAAGCAUCGACUCUUUGGUGCUCAGCUUUCUUUCACACCCAGGGUUCCUCACUAUCUCCCUGAAAAGUCUUGGUAUGGACGCCGUUCCCUGAGCAGUGUCUGAGCCCAGGCUUGCUCUUGCAAGAACAUUUGCUGCUUGACUUGAUGGCUGUGGAGUUUUUCCUCGAUGCUGUUUGCAAAGGCCAACGGCCUGUGCAGUGCUCCUCCUGAAGGAGCCCAGAGAAGGUGGAAGCUGGGGG
ensembl:lncRNA